rnacentral:pre_miRNA from 1 species
UCGCUCUCCCUCAAGUUCUUCUAGUUACAUAAGAAUUCUCUAUAUGACCAUUAGAAGCCCUUGAGGGAGAGUGAUC